CCUACGGGAGGCAGCAGUGAGGAAUAUUGGUCAAUGGGCGCGAGCCUGAACCAGCCAAGUAGCGUGAAGGAUGACUGCCCUACGGGUUGUAAACUUCUUUUAUAAAGGAAUAAAGUGAGGCACGUGUGCCUUUUUGUAUGUACUUUAUGAAUAAGGAUCGGCUAACUCCGUGCCAGCAGCCGCGGUAAUACGGAGGAUCCGAGCGUUAUCCGGAUUUAUUGGGUUUAAAGGGAGCGUAGAUGGGUUGUUAAGUCAGGUGUGAAAGUUUGCGGCUCAACCGUAAAAUUGCAUUUGAUACUGGCAGACUUGAGUACAGGUGAGGUAGGCGGAAUUCGUGGUGUAGCAGUGAAAUGCUUAGAUAUCACGAGGAACUCCGAUUGCGAAGGCAGCUUACUAAACUGCAACUGACAUUGAUGCUCGAAAGUGUGGGUAGCAAACAGGAUUAGAUACCCCGGUAGUC
rnacentral:rRNA from 1 species